rnacentral:rRNA from 1 species
GAUUGUUCACCCACCAAUAGGGAACGUGAGCUGGGUUUAGACCGUCAUGAGACAGGUUAGUUUUACCCUAAUGAUGACAGUGUCGUAAUAGUAAUUCAACCUAGUACAAGAGGAACCGUUGAUUCGCACAAUUAGUCAUCGCGCUUGGUUGAAAAGCCAAUGGCACAGAGCUACCGUGCGCUAGAUUAUGACUGAAUGCCUCCAAGUCGAAAUCCGGGCUGGAAGCAACACACAUGCUCGUCGCCCGCUUGCCAACCCGCAGGUACAUGUCGUUAGUGAAGCCUGCGUGGUGGAUGAGUCGUGUGGGCCACCUUGAAGUACAAUUCCUAUCUAGAGUGGCGGGUAGAAUCCUUUGCAGAUGACUUAAAUACGCGACGGGGUAUUGUAAGUGGUAGAGUGGCCUUGUUGCCACAAUCUACUGAGAU